UUGACGAAGGGAUACGGUUCCAAUUCCGUAACCUGUUGAGUAUCCGUUUGUUAUUAAAUAUGGGCCUCGUGCUCAUCCUGGCAACAGGAACGACCAUAAAGAAGCCGUCGAGAGAUAUCGGAAGAGUUUUCUUUUCUGUUUUAUAGCCGUACUACCAUGGAAGUCUUUCGCAGAGAGAUAUGGUAGAUGGGCUAGAAGAGCAUGACAUAUACUGUUGUGUCGAUAUUUUCUCCUCGGACCUUGAAAAUUUAUGGUGGGGACACGCAAACUUCUCAACAGGCCGUACCAAUAUCCGCAGCUGGUCUCCAAGGUGAAGAGUCUCUAGUCGAUAGAAUAAUGUAGGUAAGGGAAGUCGGCAAAUUAGAUCCGUAACUUCGGGAUAAGGAUUGGCUCUGAAGAUUGAGAUAGUCGGGCUUGAUUGGGAAACAAUAACAUGGUUUAUGUGCUCGUUCUGGGUAAAUAGAGUUUCUAGCAUUUAUGUUAGUUACUUGUUCCCCGGAUAGUUUAGUUACGUAGCCAAUUGUGGAACUUUCUUGCUAAAAUUUUUAAGAAUACUAUUUGGGUUAAACCAAUUAGUUCUUAUCAAUUAUAACGAUUAUCAAUUAACAAUCAAUUCAGAACUGGCACGGACUUGGGGAAUCCGACUGUCUAAUUAAAACAAAGCAUUGUGAUGGCCCUAGCGGGUGUUGACACAAUGUGAUUUCUGCCCAGUGCUCUGAAUGUCAAAGUGAAGAAAUUCAAGUAAGCGCGGGUCAACGGCGGGAGUAACUAUGACUCUCUUAAAGGUAGCCAAAUGCCUCGUCAUCUAAUUUAGUGACGCGCAUGAAUGGAUUAACGAGAUUCCUACUGUCCCCUAUCUAUCUGUCCGUAUUUAUCGUGGUGGCUGUGGUUGAUACCCAUAUCGCGGGUAGAGCCUUCGUGUUCGACGUUUGAGUUACGGUGCUAGUUGCGCAAAACUCGGGUGCUGUGACCCAGAGAUCAGUAGAGAUUUUAGGUAGAUCUCGCUCCUCAGCAAGGGGGAGUGCUUGCCCGGCAAGCAAGUACUCGAAUUGCUACCGGGGUGGUCGCUAUGUACAUAGCUAUAGCUUCCAGUCCGGGACGUUUGUCUGGCGUAUCCAGACUCAUGCACCAUGUUGAUACAUGCACCACUUGUGGGUGUUCAGGGUGUCGUGGUUGUAAUCCCUUCAGUGUGGAACACGCCACGUAAAACAAGUUCGGAGAGGUCCGAAAGUCACUGUCCCUAUCUACUAUCUAGCGAAACCACAGCCAAGGGAACGGGCUUGGAAUAAUUAGCGGGGAAAGAAGACCCUUUUGAGCUUGACUCUAAUCUGGCAGUGUAAGGAGACAUAAGAGGUGUAGAAUAAGUGGGAGAUAUUAGACCUCGGUUUGGUAUCGUCAAUGAAAUACCACUACUCUUAUUGUUUCCUUACUUACUUGAUUAAAUGGAACGUGUAUCAUUUCCUAGCCAUUAUACGGAUAUAUUUAUUAUAUCUUAUGGUAUUGGGUUUUGAUGCAAGCUUCUUGAUCAAAGUAUCACGAGUUUGUUAUAUAAUCGCAAACAAAUUCUUUAAUAAAACGAUGCAUUUAUGUAUUUUUGAUUUGAAAAUUUGGUAUAACUCCAAUUACUCAGGUAUGAUCCAAUUCAAGGACAUUGCCAGGUAGGGAGUUUGACUGGGGCGGUACAUCUCUCAAAUAAUAACGGAGGUGUCCCAAGGCCAGCUCAGUGCGGACAGAAACCACACAUAGAGCAAAAGGGCAAAUGCUGACUUGAUCUCGGUGUUCAGUACACACACCGACGAA
rfam:Drosophila sechellia strain Rob3c scaffold_6749 genomic scaffold, whole genome shotgun sequence.